GAUUCCCUGAGUAGCGGCGAGCGAAACGGGAAGAGCCCAAACCAACAAGCUUGCUUGUUGGGGUUGUAGGACUCCAAUAUGGUAGUCUGUUAGUAUAGUUGAAGGAUUUGGAAAAUUCCGCUAAAGAGGGUGAAAGCCCCGUAGACGAAAUGCUGACAACACCUAGGAGGAUCCUGAGUACGGCGGAACACGAGAAAUUCCGUCGGAAUCCGCGGGGACCAUCCCGCAAGGC
rnacentral:rRNA from 1 species